UACGGGGGGAGCAAGCGUUGUUCGGAUUUACUGGGCGUAAAGGGCGCGUAGGCGGCUUACCAAGUCAGGCGUGAAAUUCCCGGGCUCAACCUGGGGGCUGCGCUUGAUACUGGUGAGCUUGAAUGCGGGAGAGGAUAGUGGAAUUCCCAGUGUAGAGGUGAAAUUCGUAGAUAUUGGGAAGAACACCGGUGGCGAAGGCGGCUAUCUGGCCCGUAAUUGACGCUGAGGCGCGAAAGCGUGGGGAGCAAACAGG
rnacentral:rRNA from 1 species